UUCCCCCGGCGUGAAACCUUUAAAGACAAUAUUCAAAAUAAGGGCGGGAGGGAAAAAAGAAAAACCCCAACCAGGGGGAAUUGCCCCUCAGUUAAACGGGCGAGGUGAAGGCGGUCAAGAGCUCAAACUUUUGAAAUCUGGCGCCCUCCGGCGUCCGAGUUGUAAUUUGGAGAGGAUGCUUCGGGGUGCGGCCGCGGCCUAAGUCCCCUGGAACGGGGCGUCGCAGAGGGUGAGAAUCCCGUCUUUGGUCGCCGGUGCGCGCCCGUGUGAAGCUCCUUCGACGAGUCGAGUUGUUUGGGAAUGCAGCUCUAAAUGGGUGGUAAAUUUCAUCUAAAGCUAAAUACUGGCGGGAGACCGAUAGCGAACAAGUAGAGUGAUCGAAAGGUUAAAAGCACCUUGAAAAGGGAGUUAAACAGCACGUGAAAUUGUUGAAAGGGAAGCGCUUGCAGCCAGACUCGGGCGCGGGGGUUCAGCGGGCACGCGUGCCCGUGCACUCCCCCGCGGCCGGGCCAGCAUCGGUUCGGGCGGCCGGUCAAAGGCCCCGGGAAUGUGUCGCCCUGCGGGGCGUCUUAUAGCCCGGGGUGCAAUGCGGCCAGCCUGGACCCGAGGCACGCGCUUCGGUCUC
rnacentral:rRNA from 1 species